rnacentral:RNase_P_RNA from 1 species
CGAGCAAGCCAGAUGGUUGCGUGUGCAGUAUCGAAAGGUCGCAUACGAGGAAAGUCCGAGCUCCAUAGGGCAGGGUGCCGGGUAACUCCCGGUGGAGGCGACUCCAAGGAAAGUGCAACAGAGAUAUACCGCCUAAAUUCAUUUAUGAAUUUAGGUAAGGGUGGAAAGGCGAGGUAAGAGCUCACCAGCGAUUUGGCGACUUAUCGGCUAUGUAAACCCCACUCGGAGCAACACCGAAAAGAGGAGAUUUAGAUCGGCCCGAUUUUCUCCCGGGUAGGUGGCUAAAGUGAUGCAGUAAUGUAUCGCGUAGAUAGAUGACCAUCUAAUACAGAACUCGGCUUACAGACUUGCUCGCAAA